UUGAAGAUGUUCUAUUUCUGU
rnacentral:miRNA from 1 species